CAUCGCUCUCUGAAUACCACAUAUAGGGAGUCGAACCUGCCCAGUGAAAAUAUUUUAACGGCCGCGGUACUCUGACCGUGCAAAGGUAGCAUAAUCAUUUGCCUUAUAAUUGAAGGCUAGAAUGAAUGGUCUGACGAAAGCAACACUGUCUCCUAUUUAUUUUUUAGAAUUUGACUUUCAGGUGAAGAGGCCUGAAUUUUAUUGAAGGACAAGAAGACCCUGUCGAGCUUUAAAAAUAAGUAGAAAUAUUUUAUAUCUUAGUAAAUUCAUACCUACUUAUAUUUUUGGUUGGGGCGACCGGGGAACAAAAAAAGCUUCCUGUGUUUCAAAAUACCGAUAGGUUACGACCCAGCUAAGCUGAUUAAAAAACUAAGUUACCGCAGGGAUAACAGCAUAAUCUCUCUUGAGAGACCUAAUCGAAAGGGGGGGUUGUGACCUCGAUGUUGGACUAGAAUAUCCUGAAGAUGCAGAAGUCUUCGAGGGUUGGUCUGUUCGACCAUUAAAAUUCUAC
rnacentral:rRNA from 1 species